rnacentral:SRP_RNA from 1 species
GCUGGGCACGGUAGUGUGUGCCUGUAGUCCCAACUACUCGGGAGGCUGAGGUGGGAGGAUCGCUUGAGGCCAGGAGUUCUAGGCUGUAGUGCGCUAUGCUGAUCGGGUGUCCGCACUAAGUUCGGCAUCAAUAUGGUGACCUCCCGGGAGCGGGGGACCACCAGGUUGCCUAAGGAGGGGUGAACCGGCCCAGGUCGGAAAUGGAGCAGGUCAAAACUCCCGUGCUGAUCAGUAGUGGGAUCGAGAAUGUGAAUAGCCACUGCACUCCAGCCUGGGCAACAUAGCAAGACCCCGUCUCU